UACGGAGGGGACUAGCGUUGUUCGGAAUUACUGGGCGUAAAGCGCACGUAGGCGGAUUUGUAAGUCAGGGGUGAAAUCCCGGGGCUCAACCUCGGAACUGCCUUUGAUACUGCAAAUCUCGAGUCCGGAAGAGGUGAGUGGAAUUCCUAGUGUAGAGGUGAAAUUCGUAGAUAUUAGGAAGAACACCGGUGGCGAAGGCGGCUCACUGGCCCGGUACUGACGCUGAGGUGCGAAAGCGUGGGGAGCAAACGGG
rnacentral:rRNA from 1 species